GCCUCAGUGGUAAUAGUGGAAGAGCACGCGUCCCCGGAUAGGAUGAAACGUGGAUUCGAUUUCCGCCUGAGGCC